UACGAAGGGUGCGAGCGUUAUUCGGAUUUAUUGGGCGUAAAGGGUUCGUAGGCGGGAGGAUAAGUUAAGUGUGAAAUAUCUGGGCUUAACCCAGACAGUGCAUUUAAAACUGUUUUUCUUGAGUUCUAAAGAGGGUGGUGGAAUUGCUGGUGUAGGAGUGACAUCCGUAGAGAUCAGCAGGAACAUCGGAGGCGAAGGCGGCCACCUGGUUAGAUACUGACGCUGAGGAACGAAAGCAUGGGGAGCAAACAGG
rnacentral:rRNA from 1 species